rnacentral:rRNA from 1 species
GACGAGCGCUGGCGGCGUGCUUAACACGUGCAAGUCGAACGGAAAGGCCCUGCUUUUGUGGGGUGCUCGAGUGGCGAACGGGUGAGUAACACGUGAGUAACCUGCCCUUGACUUUGGGAUAACUUCAGGAAACUGGGGCUAAUACCGGAUAGGAGCUCCUGCUGCAUGGUGGGGGUUGGAAAGUUUCGGCGGUUGGGGAUGGACUCGCGGCUUAUCAGCUUGUUGGUGGGGUAGUGGCUUACCAAGGCUUUGACGGGUAGCCGGCCUGAGAGGGUGACCGGCCACAUUGGGACUGAGAUACGGCCCAGACUCCUACGGGAGGCAGCAGUGGGGAAUAUUGCACAAUGGGCGGAAGCCUGAUGCAGCAACGCCGCGUGCGGGAUGACGGCCUUCGGGUUGUAAACCGCUUUCGCCUGUGACGAAGCGUGAGUGACGGUAAUGAGUAAAGAAGCACCGGCUAACUACGUG